rnacentral:rRNA from 1 species
AGGCUCUUGGGUUGUAAACCUCUUUUCUCAGGGAAGAGAAAAAUGACGGUACCUGAGGAAUAAGCAUCGGCUAACUCCGUGCCAGCAGCCGCGGUAAUACGGAGGAUGCAAGCGUUAUCCGGAAUGAUUGGGCGUAAAGGGUCCGCAGGUGGCAAUGUAAGUCUGCUGUUAAAGAACCUAGCUUAACUAGGUAAAAGCAGUGGAAACUACACAGCUAGAGUGCGUUCGGGGUAGAGGGAAUUCCUGGUGUAGCGGUGAAAUGCGUAGAUAUCAGGAAGAACACCAGUGGCGAAGGCGCUCUACUAGGCCGCAACUGACACUGAGGGACGAAAGCUAGGGGAGCGAAUGGGAUUAGAUACCCCAGUAGUCCUAGCCGUAAACGAUGGAUACUAGGCGUGGCUUGUAUCGACCCAAGCCGUGCCGUAGCUAACGCGUUAAGUAUCCCGCCUGGGGAGUACGCACGCAAGUGUGAAACUCAAAGGAAUUGACGGGGGCCCGCACAAGCGGUGGAGUAUGUGGUUUAAUUCGAUGCAACGCGAAGAACCUUACCAAGACUUGACAUGUCGCGAAUCUUUCUGAAAGGGAAGAGUGCCUUCGGGAGCGCGAACACAGGUGGUGCAUGGCUGUCGUCAGCUCGUGUCGUGAGAUGUUGGGUUAAGUCCCGCAACGAGCGCAACCCUCGUUUUUAGUUGCCAGCAUUAAGUUGGGCACUCUAGAGAGACUGCCGGUGACAAACCGGAGGAAGGUGGGGAUGACGUCAAGUCAGCAUGCCCCUUACGUCUUGGGCUACACACGUACUACAAUGCUACGGACAAAGGGUAGCUACACAGCAAUGUGAUGCCAAUCUCAGAAACCGUAGCUCAGUUCAGAUCGCAGGCUGCAACUCGCCUGCGUGAAGUCGGAAUCGCUAGUAAUUGCAGGUCAGCAUACUGCAGUGAAUUCGUUCCCGGGCCUUGUACACACCGCCCGUCACACCAUGGAAGCUGGUCACGCCCGAAGUCGUUACCCCAACUGUUCGCAGAGGGGGAUGCCGAAGGCAGGUCUGGUGACUGGGGUGAAGUCGUAACAAGGUAGCCGUACCGGAAGGUGUGGCUG